ACCGUCUGCCCGAGCCUGUAGUAGACUUCUGGAGUGUAGACCGGCGGCGGCCGGGGAGGCCGGCGGGGCGGCGCCGUGCGUUUUCCGCCUGGCCCUUUUCGGUAGUCGGCACUCGGCGUGUGUACCAGUCGGGGCAUCUGCGGGCUCUCGUGUGGACGCCAUGGCCGCAAGGUGUUCGACGUAAUGAUCCCUGCUUCUGAUGGUGGCUCACAGGACCCCAUCGAGAGACUUCUUUCGACAACACAUGGGCAAGACUGCAGGCACUAUGAAGGUGCAGAGUGAGACAUGGAGUUGCCUUGUCUUCUCAUCCCGAAAGGAAUUACCUUGAGUGGUGGGUGAUGAAGGGAUGUUUUCUUGCCAGCAUGCUUUCUCAUCUUCUUCCCACUUGUUUCAGGAAUCAGGGUUGAUGAAAUGAGGGAUACAAAGUGCAUACCGUGGCUUCACAUUAUAAUUCUUGUUCCAGAUAAGUUGCCUCGUGGCCAUGAAUCUCAUCCAAACCAGUAGUCCAGCAAG